rnacentral:misc_RNA from 1 species
UGUGGAUGAAAAUGACCAGGGCCAGGCAAGUACUUCAACUAGCAAGUGGUGGAGUGUCUUCAUUACUAGUUAGGUAUGUAUGCAAAUAAUGGUCGAGAUAGUUUGAGAUAAAUGGGGAGCUGUUGCAGUUGUUGAGAUGGCAUAAGAAUAUGGUUUGUACUUUGUUGCUGUAGCAUCUAUAUUCUAUGUAAAAGACAAUUUUAAAUGCUAGUAGAGUUCUGCUUGAAUGAAUAACAUACGCACAACUGAACUUAAGCUGAGCCUUUCUCGUAUUG